UACGUAGGGUCCGAGCGUUGUCCGGAAUUACUGGGCGUAAAGAGCUCGUAGGUGGUUUGUCGCGUUGUUCGUGAAAACUCACAGCUUAACUGUGGGCGUGCGGGCGAUACGGGCAGACUUGAGUACUGCAGGGGGAGACUGGAAUUCCUGGUGUAGCGGUGGAAUGCGCAGAUAUCAGGAGGAACACCGGUGGCGAAGGCGGGUCUCUGGGCAGUAACUGACGCUGAGGAGCGAAAAGCGUGGGGGAGCGAACAGG
rnacentral:rRNA from 1 species